UGCUCAUUAUUGUUCCUAAAUUUAUUCUGUUAUUAGAUUUUUUUUUUACUUUCUUUUAUUUUCUACUUUUAUUUUUUACUUUUUUUUUUACUGAAUGAAGUGGCAGUUUAAUCAUUUGCUCCACAAUAGUCUUAGCAAUCCCUUGAUGAGACCUAAUGAUCAAUAUAUCACUCAACCCUAACAGAUUUAUGAUUUUCUGCAGAUUUGGGUCAAGACACCUCAUGUGACAUCACAACACACAUUGGGCCAUUGAUUCGAACGAAACAGAUGUCCACAGCAUUGAACUCUUAGGUACAGAUACAUACAGCGGCAUGGAGCCCCAACACUAGUAGACAUCUACUGUACACAACAGUCCCAGUGGGCUGUAAGAACAUCAGGUCUGUGUAGAUACAUUGCACUCUGAUUUCUGAAAAUUGUGCUGAGAUUCCAAACACAGAAAAGGGAUUUUAAAUUAUUUCACCAGUUUGUAAAUUUUCACACAAUUGGGUGAAUUUCUAAAAAUUGCCAUGUGUUCAAAGUGUUCAUGUUGUAGAGUGAUCUAAGAUAUUGUUCACUUGUAAAAACAAAUAUACCAGGAAGAGCCAAGAAAGGGGUUUUCACAGCGCUGCCAUUUAUAGCCAUUUUCAGUUCCCCAGUAAACAUUUCUGUACCUUUUAUUUCUUGCUUUAUUAAACACCUAAUUUUUUAUAGUCUAAAGAACCUUUGAUUCCUGCAAAGAACUUGCGAUGGAAAGGUUCCGAUGAUGUUAAAGGUUCUUCAUAGAUCCUGACAAAGAACCAUAUAAGACCCUUUAUUUUUAAACAGAGUGUGAUUCACUGAGGAUAAGUUCACUGUGCGUGACAUGCGUCGACUUAAUCCACGCUGAAUGACUUGUUCAUUCAUAUUUAUUUACAUUUUCAUCGAUGACGUUCAGAAGAUCAGCUUAUCCUGGGCGACUUACAAAAGUCUUAUGAAGUCUCUAAUAAUAAAUACAUUUUGAUACUGGUUCCUCUCAAGCUGUUGGGGAGCUAAUAUAGCAAGAAAAGCAUGCACAGAAAACACUUACUUGCUUGCUUUUUAUUUCGAGACGAGGUCAUAUUUAUGACUAUUACACGAGUCCAAGAUUUAUUUUGUAAUAAAUGUACCACCAUUUUUCAC